UGGGGCUCAGAGACCUGGGUUCAAGGCCAGCCUCUGCCAAGUGCCAUCCAGAUCCAGAACCUCUCUGAGCCUCAGUUUCCUCAUCUAUACAAUGGGGCCAGAGCAUCUGUUCUGUCGGCCUCCUGGCAGGAAACGGGCUGGGGCGGGCCGGGAGGGGGCAGGGUCUCAGAGGCCCUGUGGAGAUCUUAGGUCAGUUAGAAGUGUCCCUUUCUGGCCAGUGCAGCGGGAUAUGGUCCUCCCCUCAAAGGCUCACUUGGAAAGGUGUGACCUGGGGCCUCAGCGGUGGGGGAAGCGGGGCCCAGCUGGGAGCCAGUGCUCGGGGCCCGUGAAGCUCUGUUAGGCCAAGUGCAGCUCCUCGGGCCCACUGGCUGGAGGGGCCGCCCAGCAAGGCCGAGCACGACCUUUCUCAGCCCCCUGGUGGUUACCAUCACUAACCAAAGCCGUGUUGCCCUGAGGGAGGCGGUCAGCUCCCUCCCCACCCCCGGGCCGAUUUCAAAGUGCGAGUCAACCCAGGGGCUGCUGCCGAUGCCGGGUCCUGCCUGCACGGGCCAUGCAUGGGAGUGAGCUCCCCGUCCGUGGGACAUCCGACCCCGUUCACAGACUCUCCCCGGGCUCCACGGUGCAGAACAAGAGGUGAGUCUCGGAGCAGUGAGGUGGCCGAGCUGAGAGCCCGCAGCCCAUCGGGGUGGAGGGAGGCCAGUCCCUGAGUGGUGGCAGGGCCCCUCAGCAUUGUGGUGCCCUGGGCCGGGCCGCCGGGCACAGCCAGGGUGCCCUGCUGCAUUGGUACCCUGCUCUGAAGAGGAGUCCUCGCCAGUGAUGGGACAGCGGGGACCCCCUGGGGGCAGGAGCAGGAAGGGGGAGGACAAGGAGGAGGCGGGAGGCCCCAACAUCGGGGGACAGCCUGCACGGAAUGCUGCACCCCUAGGUGGAUGCCCCGGGGGACAGAGGGGAGGCUCGGGGUCCCUCUCCCGCCAGAGGCCCUAAGGGAGGAUCCUUCCCGCCUCCUCCAACUUUGGGGGCCCCAGGCGUCCCUGGGCCGGUGGCUGCGUGGCUGCAGCCUCUGCCUCCGUGGCCACGUGGCCCCUGCUCUCCGUGUGCUCUCCUCUUCCGUCUCCUGUAAGGACGCUUGUCAUGGGAUUCAGGGCCCGGCCUCACCCGGGAUGAUCUACAAAGACCCUUAUGGGAAAUAAAGUCACGCUCUGAGGUUCUGGGGGUUAAGACACGACGUCUGCUCGGGCGGGUGGGCCUGCAGUUCAGUCUGCUACACCUCCUGCGGCGAGGUCCAAGAGAAAAUAACACCACCCGAUACAAUCAGUUCCGGUAAAACCCGUGUCUGCACAUGUCUUCUCCGCACUCUCCCUUCUCGUCCCUCUGUGUCAUUUGGGCUCUUCCCUUGCAAGACGGGCCUGUCGAUGACCCCACCUGUGCCACAGGCGCAGGUCCCAGAGGGGGGGACAGAGAUGACAGGGGAGGGGUCCCGGAGGCGGGCCCAGCACGGUCCCCUGCACGUGGUAAGUGAUCCGUAAUGUCGUGAAAGAAACUGAUGCCCCCAGGAGGUCGUUGUCCGGUGCAAGGGGGCAGAGGGGCCAGGACCCGGGGCCUGACCUCUGAGUCCUUGGCUGUGUCUGAGCUGGAGGCCAGCCCCUGCCCACCCCAUACGCCCCCACCGCAAGAAGGAGCCCCCGGGAGCACUGCCUGCAACCACACGUUAGCCUCAUUCCCGUCUCCAAAGGGUCCAGCCUGCGCCCCGGUCAGAUCUGCCCGCUGCCUGCUUUCGUGCGGCCCAUGAGCCAAGAAUGGCUGUUCCAUUUCAUUAUUAUUUUUUAAGACUUUAUUUUUAAGCAAUCUCCACAGCCGACGCGGGGCUCGAACCCCCAACCGCGAGAUCAGGAGUCGCGCGCCCCGCCGACACAGCCAGCCAGGCGCCCCUCUCCUCCGGUCUUCAACGGGUGAAAAAACUCACAAGAAUACAAAUACACGUGAACAGGACACGGGUUUCCCAGUCGGCGUCCAUCCGCGGGUGUUCUUGGCACACAGCUGUCCGUUCAUCGACGUUGCUGGGGCCGCUUUCCUUCCACGAGGCGGGAAAUUGAGGGCCGAUGCGACGAAGACAAAAAUCUACCCUCUCUGGCCCCUCGCGGAAAGUUUGCUGAGCCCUGAGCUGCGCCCUCCCCCUCGUGCGGGGCGGGCAGGGACUGGCCUCCCGAGAGGGUGGACGGCGAGUCCCCCCGGAUGGUGACAGGGCACGCCUCUGCGUCACCAGGAAACGCGUGCCGAGGACCACCGGUGAGGCGCUGCGCGGGUCACGGCGCACAGCCAGGCUGGCCUUGUGAGCAAGGGCACCGGCUCUGGACUCGAGUUCCAGCUCCGGGCACGUUGUGCCUCGGUUUCCCCAUCCUGAAGGCAGGAAUACUCUCACCUCGUGGGAGAAAGGAUCCUCCUACCGCGGUCCGGAGACGAGCCUGUGUGAAAUCAGCCCGCCGCUCCGUCAGGACGCCUACGCCAGUCCCCUCCCUGCAUCUCGGGACGUGGGCACUCUACCGUCUCACGCCAUCACGACGAGAAGGCCUCUGCGGUGCCCCAAGCAUCUAUGCUGCCCACCUGGUGGACACUCAGUGGCUAUUUGUCCAACGGAUGAAUCCAGAGGACCGGAGUUUGGAACCUCUCACCUGACAGAAUGCACAUCCAUGGCGCUCAGCCUAGCCCCUGCCAGCUACCUCAGAGUGCAGACAUCCUUCGGGGAAGGGAUCACAGACUGGGCCCCUAGAACCUGCUACAGACAGCGCCCCGGGGGGCAGACCGUGCCAGCCGGUUAACAGGACCCCAGACGCUGCCGCCUCCCGCGGUGCCCCACGGUCACACUGCAGGGUAGGGGGCUCAGCGUCUUAUGCCCAUUUUAUAGGUGAGGACAGUGGAGGCCCCGAGCAAGGGCCUCACCCCGGCGCCAGACCCAGUGCUUUCCCCGCCCUGGUGGGCAGAACAGUGGAGAGCAGGCUCUGUGGGAUCCAGGUGUUCCAGGAGGGGCGGGACAUUGAGAGGGGGGCGAGAAAGGGCGUGGGGGACCGGGACCGCCCAGGGCCUCCCUCCAGAGGCUCUUCUUCCCGUCACUUCUUCUGGCCUUGUCACCAGGGGCUGAUGACCCCGGCUCGUCCCUGCCCCUCGCCUGGCCCCCCCACCUGCCCCGCAGGGGUUUCAUGGGUUCACGCGGCUGCCGAGCCAGGGCUGGCUGGGGCCCAGCGCUUUAUAGGGGAGGAGUCCUGGUCGCCUCCUGCCGCCAGUCACCUUUGGAGGUCGCUCCUGCUUGCUCAGGGGAAGCAUACCGGCCUCGUAAAAGCAUAAACCAGUGACUGGCAGUGAGAGGCGGCUGGAGAUAAGGCAGGACCUUUACAACCAGAUAAGCUGACAACAGCAUCCGGCCCCUUAAAUCUGGUCCAGCACCAGGCCCGGGGGCCGCCGAUGCCCGGCCGGGCUCGCACGAGAUAAGAGAGGGCAGAGCGGUGGGCUUCCUGGGCCCGCCAGAGGGGGCCGGCGGGGCCGGCUGCAGGCCUCCGGAUGGGGGCGCUGGGCUGGGGAAGGGGCCACCUGAAAACCGGCCACAUUAAUGGUAGGUGGGGCGGCUCAGAGCCCAGUGGGCUCGGUGUUUGGGGUUGCGUUUUAAUUUUUGUUUUCUCUGGGUUGCCAGAAAGGGGCUGUAAGGGCAUCUGGGUCCUGCAGCUCGAACAACGUGGGACCCCGGGCUCUGUUGUCCUGGAUGCCUGGUCUCCGCUGGCCUCACUCCGGGGCGGACGCCCCCUCCCCUUUCACCCCCUGUGAAACCCCGGCAGCUCAGGCUGGCGUCUCUGACCCCCGAGUCCUUAGGCAGGGGAGCGUGUGUCCCCAGAGUUUCUGCAAAAGCCCUGGAACAGAGGACCUCCCUCCCACCGCUGACCUCAAGAGCAGGCCUGCA